AUUGAACGCUGGCGGCAUGCCUUACACAUGCAAGUCGAACGGUAACAGGUCUUCGGAUGCUGACGAGUGGCGAACGGGUGAGUAAUACAUCGGAACGUGCCUAGUAGUGGGGGAUAACUACUCGAAAGAGUGGCUAAUACCGCAUGAGAUCUACGGAUGAAAGCAGGGGAUCGCAAGACCUCGUGCUACUAGAGCGGCCGAUGGCAGAUUAGGUAGUUGGUGGGAUAAAAGCUUACCAAGCCGACGAUCUGUAGCUGGUCUGAGAGGACGAUCAGCCACACGGGGACUGAGAGAGGGCCCAGACUCCUACGGGAGGCAGCAGUGGGGAAUUUUGGACAAUGGGCGAAAGCCUGAUCCAGCAAUGCCGCGUGCAGGAUGAAGGCCUUCGGGUUGUAAACUGCUUUUGUACGGAACGAAAAGCCCCGGGUUAAUACCCUGGGGUCAUGACGGUACCGUAAGAAUAAGCACCGGCUAACUACGUGCCAGCCGCCGCCGUAA
rnacentral:rRNA from 1 species